ACGCACUCGAAGCGUGCCCGCGUUGGGAGCGC
rnacentral:sRNA from 1 species